AGUCGAGCGAGUCUGCCUUGAAGAUCGGAGUGCUUGCACUCUGUGAAACAAGAUACAGGCUAGCGGCGGACGGGUGAGUAACACGUGGGUAACCUGCCCAAGAGAUCGGGAUAACACCUGGAAACAGAUGCUAAUACCGGAUAACAACAGAUGAUGCCUAUCAACUGUUUAAAAGAUGGUUCUGCUAUCACUCUUGGAUGGACCUGCGGUGCAUUAGCUAGUUGGUAGGGUAACGGCCUACCAAGGCGAUGAUGCAUAGCCGAGUUGAGAGACUGAUCGGCCACAUUGGGACUGAGACACGGCCCAAACUCCUACGGGAGGCAGCAGUAGGGAAUCUUCCACAAUGGACGCAAGUCUGAUGGAGCAACGCCGCGUGAGUGAAGAAGGGUUUCGGCUCGUAAAGCUCUGUUGUUGGUGAAGAAGGACAGGGGUAGUAACUGACCUUUGUUUGACGGUAAUCAAUUAGAAAGUCACGGCUAACUACGUGCCAGCAGCCGCGGUAAUACGUAGGUGGCAAGCGUUGUCCGGGUUUAUUGGGCGUAAAGCGAGUGCAGGCGGCUCGAUAAGUCUGAUGUGAAAGCCUUCGGCUCAACCGGAGAAUUGCAUCAGAAACUGUCGAGCUUGAGUACAGAAGAGGAGAGUGGAACUCCAUGUGUAGCGGUGAAAUGCGUAGAUAUAUGGAAAAACACCGGUGGCGAAGGCGGCUCUCUGGUCUGUUACUGACGCUGAGGCUCGAAAGCAUGGGUAGCGAACAGGAUUAGAUACCCUGGUAGUCCAUGCCGUANACGAUGAGUGCUAAGUGUUGGGAGGUUUCCGCCUCUCAGUGCUGCAGCUAACGCAUUAAGCACUCCGC
rnacentral:rRNA from 1 species